CGCAGGAUAGAGCAGUUGGCAGCUCGUCGGGCUCAUAACCCGAAGGUCGUAGGUUCAAGUCCUACUCCUGCUA
rnacentral:tRNA from 1 species